GUAUUGGGUUAUGUUAUUGUUCCUGUUAACAUCACGUGUAAGUACCCGGAAUAAAAUCAGAUUAUAUUUUUAAAGCGUACAAAAACAGCCAUUGGAGUAGCAUUGUACCGUGUGGGGAUCGAUAAGUUACGCGUAAAAAAUAUACACAAUUUGAUCGACUAUUGACUUUUUUGGCACGCCCGGAUUUGGUGAGGUGCUGGGAUCGCUGUUGCCACACCGAUAGGAUCUGCUAAAUGAGGGUGAUGUAGAAUCGAUAGAAGUGA